rnacentral:rRNA from 1 species
UCCUACGGGAGGCAGCAGUGAGGAAUAUUGGUCAAUGGGCGCGAGCCUGAACCAGCCAAGUCGCGUGAGGGAAGACGGUCCUAUGGAUCGUAAACCUCUUUUGUCGGGGAGCAAAAGACGCCACGCGUGGCGUUCCGAGAGUACCCGAAGAAAAAGCAUCGGCUAACUCCGUGCCAGCAGCCGCGGUAAUACGGAGGAUGCGAGCGUUAUCCGGAUUUAUUGGGUUUAAAGGGUGCGCAGGCGGAAGAUCAAGUCAGCGGUAAAAUUGCGGUGCUCAACGCCGUACAGCCGUUGAAACUGGCAGG